rnacentral:rRNA from 1 species
UACGAAGGACCCGAGCGUUAUCCGGAUUUAUUGGGUUUAAAGGGUGCGUAGGCGGAUUUACAAGUCAGUGGUGAAAUCUCCCAGCUUAACUGGGAAACUGCCAUUGAAACUGUUUAUCUUGAGUACAUUUGAGGCGGGCGGAAUGUGUCAUGUAGAGGUGAAAUUCUUAGAUAUGACACAGAACACCAAUUGCGAAGGCAGCUCGCUAAACUGUAUCUGACACUGAGGAACGAAAGCCAGGGGAGCAAAACGGG